UACAACAUAGUGUUAAUGCACCAAAUCUCAUUAGAACUCUGCAGUUAAGCAUGCUCAGGCUAGAGUAGUACUGGGAUGGGUGACCGCCCGAGAAGUCCUAGUGUUUUAC
rnacentral:rRNA from 1 species